rnacentral:siRNA from 1 species
GAUCUAGAUAACCAGAGAAUGAU